rnacentral:rRNA from 1 species
UACGUAGGGUGCAAGCGUUAAUCGGAAUUACUGGGCGUAAAGCGUGCGCAGGCGGCUUUGCAAGACAGAUGUGAAAUCCCCGGGCUUAACCUGGGAACUGCAUUGGUGACUGGCGGGCUAGAGUAUGGCAGAGGGGGGUAGAAUUCCACGUGUAGCAGUGAAAUGCGUAGAGAUGUGGAGGAAUACCGAUGGCGAAGGCAGCCCCCUGGGCCAAUACUGACGCUCAUGCACGAAAGCGUGGGGAGCAAACAGG